GCGCCCGUAGCUCAGCUGGAUAGAGCGUUGGACUCCGACUCCAAAGGCCGUGCGUUCGAAUCGCAUCGGGCGUACCA
rnacentral:tRNA from 8 species